rnacentral:rRNA from 1 species
ACAAGUAGUCAGAGCCCGUUAAUGGGUGAUGGCGUGCCUUUUGUAGAAUGAACCGGCGAGUUACGAUUUGAUGCAAGGUUAAGCAGUAAAUGUGGAGCCGUAGCGAAAGCGAGUCUGAAUAGGGCGUUUAGUAUUUGGUCGUAGACCCGAAACCAGGUGAUCUACCCUUGGUCAGGUUGAAGUUCAGGUAACACUGAAUGGAGGACCGAACCGACUUACGUUGAAAAGUGAGCGGAUGAACUGAGGGUAGCGGAGAAAUUCCAAUCGAACCUGGAGAUAGCUGGUUCUCUCCGAAAUAGCUUUAGGGCUAGCCUCAAGUGAUGAUUAUUGGAGGUAGAGCACUGUUUGGACGAGGGGCCCCUCUCGGGUUACCGAAUUCAGACAAACUCCGAAUGCCAAUUAAUUUAACUUGGGAGUCAGAACAUGGGUGAUAAGGUCCGUGUUCGAAAGGGAAACAGCCCAGACCACCAGCUAAGGUCCCAAAAUAUAUGUUAAGUGGAAAAGGAUGUGGCGUUGCCCAGACAACUAGGAUGUUGGCUUAGAAGCAGCCAUCAUUUAAAGAGUGCGUAAUAGCUCACUAGUCGAGUGACACUGCGCCGAAAAUGUACCGGGGCUAAACAUAUUACCGAAGCUGUGGAUUGUCCUUUGGACAAUGGUAGGAGAGCGUUCUAAGGGCGUUGAAGCAUGAUCGUAAGGACAUGUGGAGCGCUUAGAAGUGAGAAUGCCGGUGUGAGUAGCGAAAGACGGGUGAGAAUCCCGUCCACCGAUUGACUAAGGUUUCCA